GUGCUCGCUUUGGCAGCACAUAUACUAAAAUUGGAACAAUACAGAGAAGAUUAGCACUGUCCAAUGCUAACACAGGAAGUCACCCAGUGAAAGCAUUUAGCU